rnacentral:rRNA from 1 species
AGCGAACGCUGGCGGCAGGCUUAAUACAUGCAAGUCGAGCGCCUGUAGCAAUACAGGAGCGGCAGACGGGAGAGUAACACGUGGGAACGUGCCCUUUGGUUCGGAACAACACAGGGAAACUUGUGCUAAUACCGGAUAAGCCCUUACGGGGAAAGAUUUAUCGCCAAAGGAUCGGCCCGCGUCUGAUUAGCUAGUUGGUGGGGUAAUGGCCCACCAAGGCGACGAUCAGUAGCUGGUCUGAGAGGAUGAUCAGCCUCAUUGGGACUGAGACACGGCCCAAACUCCUACGGGAGGCAGCAGUAGGGAAUAUUGGACAAUGGGGGCAACCCUGAUCCAGCCAUGCCGCGUGAGUGAUGAAGGCCUUAGGGUUGUAAAGCUCUUUCGGCGGGGAAGAUAAUGACGGUACCCGCAUAAGAAGCCCCGGCUAACUUCGUGCCAGCCGCCGCGGUAAAAC